rnacentral:lncRNA from 1 species
AUAUGCGGUGAUUGGCAGGUCCGCUGGCCCCGCCCCUUCCGCUUCUCAGGCCUGACCUUCCUGCCGCCCGUAGCUGAGCCGCUACUGCCGCGUUUUCGCGAUUCGACCCGACGCGCCCCCUCUCGCGACAUCAUGGUGGCGUACUGGCGACAGGCUGGACUCAGGUAGGCCCGGGCCUCUGGAGGGAAGCGCACGGGCCCGGCGCCAGAGUCGCGGCGGGGGUAGCCGGCGCGUGGCCUGGCCCUCCCCACCGGCCUCCGGGCCUCGGCGCCGCCGCCAAGAUGGCGUCGCUGUGGACAAGGGCUGCCGGCCUACAGGCCCCGGAGGAUGCGGACGCCGGGGGGCGGGCCCGGCGCGGGCAGUGCACCCUAGUGCAUCGGCUGCACACACGGACAGCCCCGCAGCAUGCCCUCUUUUGUUACCCCUUGACCUCGGUGUCCUUGUGGAAAAGGGUGGAAGCCCCCUCUGAGUUGUUCAGACCUGCAAAGCACAGUGGUGGCCUGGGGGGGGGGGGCGUUCAAGUGUGCAGCGGCCGCCCCGUGUGCAGUGGGAAAGUGGGAACCUGUGGUCCUAGUGACACACCUUGCGAGUUGGCUAGAUUUGAGUAGUGGUAACUUCCCCAGCUACUGAGUAGCCCGAGUUUCCUGACGUGGUAAGGUCAAGUAAAGUACGAUGAACUUGAAAAACAAUAACAAACCAUUUAUUAAACCACCUACUAUGUGAUCCAAGGUUUUUCACACUUUGUACCACCCAGACCCUUUCAGGGCAGGUAUUAUUAUUCUUUUAUUCUAUUGUUUUUACAGGUGAAUAAACAAGCUGACAAGGGCUGAGCAGCCUGCAAGUCACCCAGUUAGUAGGAGUAGAAGCAGGAAUUGGAACUCUUUACUUCUGACUCCUAAAAACAAGUUCUAAGACAUGAGCAGUAGCUACCACCAUCCACUUCCUGUUUUCAAACAAAGUGUGAAAAGUGACCAGCAUCUUUUGGGAAAAUAAGAUGUUGCUAGAAAUCCAGCUACCAAACAGGGAGCAGAUAAUUUAGAUAUUCUGCUAGAAUUGAUGGUGUUCUCUGAGGACUUUUCGUAAUUUAGAAACCUUGAUUAGGAGAUAUUUUCAAUGACAGGCUUGUGAGAGACAGUCUAGUAUUCUCAGGAAAGCCUUUAAAUAUUUAUCAGAGAAAGAGCUGUUUGGGUUCAAGAUAGUUUUUUUCUCUGUUAAUUAUAAAUACCUUAUCUUGUAAGAAUAAUACAGUUAAACAGGUUUUAAGUAAAAUGGGAAAAUCAUUUGUGUUGUAUCCUCCAAAAACAUUUUGGUCUGAUUUUUGGUUGUUUGUUUGCAAGUCAAACAGCCUACAAGUCACCCAGUUAGUAGAAGUAGAAGCAGGCAUUGGAACUCUGACUCCUAAAAACAGGUUCUAAGACAUGAGUGUCACCCCUUCCCCCGUGUUGUGGGAUUUUUUUUUUUUAAAUAUUUAUGCCCCUUUUACUGUAAGUUAAAAUCAUGAUCAUUGAACCAAAAAAAAUCAGUUGCUCUUUUGGCACAUUUCUUUCUUUUUGUGUGUGUGUAGAGGUUUCCUUUGAAAUUAGUUUUAAAUCCAAUUCUGCAAUAAUGUCCGACUAAACCAAAAUUAAAAGUUUAGGAAAGAAACCAAAAACACAGUAACACAGCUGUCUGGCAGGAUUAUUGAUAAUUAACAUAUCUUCUCUCAUUUUCUCCCAGCUACAUCCGAUACUCUCAGAUCUGUGCAAAAGCAGUGAGGGAUGCACUGAAGGCAGAAUUCAAAGCAAAUGCCGAGAAGACUUCUGGCAGCAGCAUAAAAAUUGUGAAAGUAAAAAAGGAAUAAUCAGUAAGUUAUGGAUUUAUUUAGAAGAAGAGUUGCAUCUUAAAUUUUUAGAGCCACAUAAAAAUCAAACUAAUUCUAGUUCGGGCUUCUGUUCAUUUUUUUAGUCAGCGCAUUUCAAAGUUAGUUAUUGGAGUAAUAAUUUAAAAUAUAUAGGGUGUAGAAGUACUGUGGCAUGAUAAAAGGAUGUCCUUUUGGGCCCUGACAAGCAGAAGUAAUUGGCAUAUUGAUUUUCAGUUCAUUUAGCAAUGCUUAGGUAGAAAGCCAUCUUAUUUUAAUUAAACCUGUUUCAUUUGUCUGCACAAAAUCAAAUAAUUUGGAGGAUAAACUCCUCACUUUUCUAAUUGCUAUUGGAGUUAUGUAACAGUUCAAGAGCAUGAAAAAUUACAGCUCUUUGCGUUUUUAUUUCCCCCACAUCUGCUAAUGUCCUCACAAAUCACCAUUUCCUGAACAUAAGGACUGCGAGUACAGCAAGGGUCCUGCUGUUUUACUGAGCAGUAAAAUCUGCAAGACCCUGCAGUGAAUACUGUUUUGCUGAAUUUAUUAUGCUUUCAGACUGUUUGGUUCAUUUUAGUUCUGCAAAGAUGUUGGUGAUGUAAAGUUUCAUUCUUAUGCAAUAAAAAGACAGUUCUGUACAGUUGAUAAGUUCAGGCGUUUGUACUCCAAACUAUAAAAGUGAUUUGAUCUCUCAGCCACUUUCUUGACAUUGUUAUUUCAAAGAUAAGGCAAAUUAUCAAAGCAGUGUUUUUCAGAUUGAAUUUUCUUGUUUUGCUUUUAAAAAGCUGCAGACACACUGUAGCAUAGAAGUGUGGUAGACAUUAACCCUUUGGCAACUCAUGGAUACAAGCAGUUUCACUUGAUGGAGCUGUCUCCUCUAAGCACUUUUCAUUCUCAUUUUGAAUUGGUAGAUAUUAAGAGUCUAGAAAUGUGGUGUUUUGAAUUGAGUCCUUUUUUAGGGGCUGUCUAAUCUCCUAAGUUCAUAGGAGACCUAAGAAUAUCACUUAGUCUAUACAGUAGUGCUGUGCCAGACACUGCAUCUGACUCCUGUGACUUUGCUGUGUCUUUGGGGUCAAUAAGUUCUGUUCAGCUCAGCAGUGAGGACCCUCUCCAUCAGCACCAGGGAUAUUGAUGUCUUUAAAAGGCAAAGUAGUUCCUUUCUUCCUAGGCAAGUGUUAGAUUUAUUUAUUGGGGAGUGCCAGUUGGGUGAGGCCCUGCACUCUUAAAAGUUAUCCAGGGAUUGCACCUGCAAAGGGAUUUGCAGCCACAGUUAAACAUUGACGGUUCACUAUGUGAAGGUCCUUUCUGAUAUUUGUGUUGGAUGUUUAAGAAAAGAUACAGAACUGGAUGGCAACUGUUGCAUUUUCUUUUUUCCUCCUAGACCCUGACUAAAGCUUGAAAUGCUACAUUUUCAAGGUGAAGAAGUAUGGGCACAUAUUAUGGCAAAUUAAAAUCAUCUCACUUCAUGAAAAAAAAAAAACUGUCUUGUUCAUAAAUUGACAAUGCCAAUAAAUUGAUGUAUGGCUCACUCUUA